AUGGUGCAGCAACACGAUGUCAAUAUACUUGUCUGGAAGGACAACUUGGUGAGGCACAAGGAAGUUAUUAUGGGUUUAGUUCAGUUCAUAGGGCUGUGAGUCUUGUGAAUUUCUGCAGUAAUUACUUUCUGGAGCUCUCUUGCCUUCAUCUUUUACAGUUAGGUGAGUCUUGAUCACUCUAGUUUUGUCUAGUUAUUAGUGGACUCCCCAAGUUAUUUCCAAAUGACACUAUAAGCUUACUUGCAUAACCGAUAUUUUUAAAGUAGUUUUACAAUAAACUGAAUUGCCUCUUUGUAGUUAGUUGAUAGAAAGCCAUAUAAGGCUUCUUAUAUUGAUUAUGGUCUAUAAGCUAUCAGUACAGUUGUAGGCUUGCACAUUAAUAUUAUACUUAUAUACCGUGUACCCAUGUAAGAUGGUGUGCUGUUACAGAGAAAUUUUAAGUAACCUUGCAUUGCAUUCUUAGCAAUUUGUAUGAAAUUAUGUGGC
rnacentral:lncRNA from 1 species